ensembl:lncRNA
GUUUGUUUGAUUAGGUUUGGAGCUAAUGGAUCUUAAAUUUGAUUUAAAACAUCCUGCAGAUACCCUAUAUUAAGAUGGCAGACCAUUUAGAAAAAUGAUGCAUAUGCCAGAAUACUUGCAAAUGGACUCUGACAGUAUACACCACAUGUGGUGCAACGUGUAUAUUAGGAGUGGAAAAAGAGCAAAGAUCUGGCAACCUCAUCUGGCUGGUCCUCCAUGUCUCUAUUGUGGUGUCAGUAUCCACUCUGAUGUCUGAUGGAAUAAACACUUAAGCUUUGGCCCUUAUUGCAUGUUUGAAGUGUGUCCUGGACGAAGGCUGCAUCAACGUGUACUUCACAAGCUGCUGAGUGCUCAUUCUCUUGUCGGCUGCAGUUGUACCCAAGCAACACUUUUGAGUUAAGUGUCAUCUUAUAGCUGUGUUCUACUGACCCUCGAGUCCUCUAGAGUUGACUAUGAGAGGAAAAGGUUUUGGUUGAACUACUGUGUACAUAGGAGUUGAAAAGCUGAGUUUUUGGAAGCUAUUUAUUUGAUAACCAUUCAAGAUGUUACAGUUUAUGGGUGGUUUGGACUUUGCCCCAUAAUUCUUUAUGGUAGCCAUUUUUAUAUGUGAUUUAAGCAGUAUUACAUUUAUUUGACUUUUUUUCUCCAUCGAGCUGUUUAAAAAUAUCAAUUUUCUAUUUAAUUGUAAUCUUCAUUUCAACAUCCUGUAUGCUGAUUUUUAAAAUCCCAUGAUGAAUCUUUUUAC